UACGUAGGGGGCAAGCGUUGUCCGGAUUUAUUGGGCGUAAAGAGCGUGUAGGCGGCUAGAUAGGUCCGUUGUGAAAACUCGAGGCUCAACCUCGAGACGCCGAUGGAAACCAUCUAGCUAGAGUCCGGAAGAGGAGAAUGGAAUUCCUGGUGUAGCGGUGAAAUGCGCAGAUAUCAGGAAGAACACCCGUGGCUAAGGCGGUUCUCUAGUACGGUACUGACGCUGAGACGCGAAAGCGUGGGGAGCGAACGGG
rnacentral:rRNA from 1 species